rnacentral:rRNA from 1 species
AUUGAACGCUGGCGGCAUGCCUUACACAUGCAAGUCGAACGGCAGCGGGGGAGAAGCUUGCUUUUCCUGCCGGCGAGUGGCGAACGGGUGAGUAAUACAUCGGAACGUGCCCUGUAGUGGGGGAUAACUAGUCGAAAGAUUAGCUAAUACCGCAUACGACCUGAGGGUGAAAGUGGGGGACCGCAAGGCCUCAUGCUAUAGGAGCGGCCGAUGUCUGAUUAGCUAGUUGGUGGGGUAAAGGCCUACCAAGGCGACGAUCAGUAGCUGGUCUGAGCGGACGAUCAGCCACACUGGGACUGAGACACGGCCCAGACUCCUACGGGAGGCAGCAGGGGGGAAUUUUGGACAAUGGGCGAAAGCCUGAUCCAGCAAUGCCGCGUGUGUGAAGAAGGCCUUCGGGUUGUAAAGCACUUUUGUCCGGAAAGAAAUGGCUCUGGUUAAUACCUGGGGUCGAUGACGGUACCGGAAGAAUAAGGACCGGCUAACUACGUGCCAGCAGCCGCCGUAA